rnacentral:rRNA from 1 species
GUCCACGCCCUAAACGAUGAUAACUCGAUGUGUGCGAUAUACAGUACGCGUCUAAGCGAAAGCAUUAAGUUAUCCACCUGGGAAGUACGACCGCAAGGUUGAAAACUCAAAGGAAUUGACGGGGGGCCCGCACAAGCGGAGGAGCAUGUGGUUUAAUUCGAUGAUACGCGAGGAACCUUACCAGGGCUUGAAAGUUAAGGAAUGAUGUAGAAAUAUGUCAGUCAGCAAUGACCUGAAACUAGGUGCUGCAUGGCUGUCGU